rnacentral:rRNA from 1 species
UACGGGGGGGGCAAGCGUUGUUCGGAAUUACUGGGCGUAAAGGGCGCGUAGGCGGGGAGGUAAGUCGGGUGUGAAAUCCCUCGGCCCAACUGAGGAACUGCGCCCGAGACUGCUUCUCUUGAGUCCCGGAGAGGAAGAUGGAAUUCCCGGUGUAGCGGUGAAAUGUGUAGAGAUCGGGAGGAACACCGGUGGCGAAGGCGGUCUUCUGGACGGUGACUGACGCUGAGGCGCGAAAGCGUGGGGAGCAAACAGG